CGUUGCGCUGGCUGCGCUGGGCGUGUGACGAUGCUCUUCGUGCAGUAUUCCCGGCCAACAUCCGCUUGAUGAAAUGCGAUAACUUGAAGGCUCUUGCUGAUCCCUGCAUCGACUGUGAACUCAUGAUCAUCUUGAUUGAUCUGAUCCUGCAGAAGACAAGGGUGUACCACCAUAUUCUGUUUAAUAAGCUUAGCAUAUGGGAUC